rnacentral:rRNA from 1 species
GAUGAACGCUAGCGAUAGGCUUAACACAUGCAAGUCGAGGGGCAGCAUUAUUUUAGCUUGCUAAGAUAGAUGGCGACCGGCGCACGGGUGCGUAACGCGUAUGCAACCUGCCUGUAAUUAGGGAAUAACCCGGUGAAAGUCGGACUAAUACCCUAUAUUCUUCUUUCUCCGCAUGGGGGAGGAUGGAAAGAUUUAUUGAUUACAGAUGGGCAUGCGUCCCAUUAGCUCGUUGGUAAGGUAACGGCUUACCAAGGCAACGAUGGGUAGGGGGACUGAGUGGUUGACCCCCCACACUGGUACUGAGACACGGACCAGACUCCUACGGGAGGCAGCAGUGAGGAAUAUUGGUCAAUGGGCGAGAGCCUGAACCAGCCAAGUCGCGUGAAGGACGACGGUUCUAUGGAUUGUAAACUUCUUUUGUAGAGGAAUAAUGGCAGCUACGUGUAGCUGAGAUGACAUGUACU